ensembl:lncRNA
CUUAUCUGUAUUCAUUUGAUUAUUCAGGGUGAAGGUAGUUGCAGGAGUGAAAAGCAUAGUGUCAGUGAGAGUCAGGAGGACUGCUUCAUCUCUUAAUAGAGGAGCACGAAAGGAGCAACAUUCACAGAGUUUGUGCAGAAGCCUAUUUUUUAAGAGCAUCAGAAGCUGAUACAGCCAGUUUGCUACAUGGUCCCCAAAUAGCGUCCCACAGAGAUCAAGAUUUUUACUAAGUUAGGCCUACAACUAAAGUAUAUUUAAGUAUAAAUGGCUAAGUAAGCAUAAAUCCAUUUUAAAUGCAUUAAAACGCACAACUGAAUAACUUAUUAAUCAAAAAAUGAAUAACAUCAAAUUAUUUACUAUUUGCUAUCAGUGUUUUUACAUGAUUCUCUAUAGGCUGUGAUUAUGAUAUUCCUAUGCGUCUGCAUUCAGACAGCACUGCGGCUGGGUUGUAAAGAGUAGGUUUGUUCUGGCAGAAGGAUGACGGGGUGAGGAAUAAGGAGGGAGGGGGCGGGGUGCAUUUGACAGCUUGAUGAAGGGUCACUAUGUUGUGGUGUCAUGUAGGCAUUAUGGAGGUUUUUUUUUUUCUGAAACUUUUUUAAUUUUGUAAUGACAAGUGAGUUAGCUGUCAUAAAGAAGUAAAUGCUGUUCUGUAAAGAUGCGUAAUUUGUGAUAUUUUAGCUCCACUAGCCAAAGUGGCUAGUGGGACUGGCUAUGUUGCCCACCACUGCUGAAUUUUACCUGCAUUUUGUGGGUGGGUGGGUGCCAACUUUAAACCCUGGUGUCAUGACAUAAACUAGUUGUGAGAGAUUUUUCUGGUGUAAGACACUAUGCAUCACACAAGAACAUGACCUGUACUAGGUAGUAUUUUUAUACCCAACUGAUUACUAAUUAAAGUACACUUUUUAUUGUUACAUAUUUUGUAUUAGGUGAUUAUGUACCUAAUAGUACUUUUUGUGGAGGAAAACAAAACUGGCCCGGUGGCAAAAGAGUGGUUUUCAGAUGGCCUCGCUUGGUGGCCCCCAUACAGUGACAUGUGCCAGAUUCUCCGAAGUGUCCAAAAAAAGUUGACCCCAAUCCAUCAAAGGGCUGGAGACAAUUUGCUGCACAUGUGCUCUACGAAUCAUAUUCAAUUAACAAAAUACAAGAAAAGUGGGAAAGGUCAUGUGUAACAUCAGACCUAAACACAGACAAAGAACAUAAAGUUACAACUGUAUGACAACGAAGGAAGUAAGCACAUAUUUCUUUUUUGAAUAUGAAAUAAUCCUCAUUUUAGUCUGAGUUUUGACUGUAUCACACAAAAUUUAUGGAACUGUGUUGUCUUUAUGUUUGAGUGAAAUAUUUGCUUGUACCUUUGCUAGGCACCUUUGCUUGUAUUGCAUAAUAUUAUGCAUGAAAAUCAAAUAAUAAUGGAUAAUUUACUUACAUAGACCAAAACGUCUCAGGUCACCAUCACCCUCAUCAACAUCAUCACCUCCAUCAAAGGAAGAUGGCCAUUUGGCAACUUUACAAGAAAACUGACUGGCCAAAACACCAAAAUGGGUUCAUCGACUCCCUUCCAGACACCUAACAGAACCCCCCCCAUCAGCGGUCACAAGACCAAAGAGGACAGAUGCCAUCAGAGCUGGUAAGAUUGUUCAGACCUUUAUUAAAGUAAAUCACAUCAAAGUCACAUCUAAGACUCAACAUCGCUAGACAUGAUACAACAGAGAAUAUUUUAAAGACAUCAGAAUGUUUAACUACUCAUUCUUACCAAACUCACAUACACUAUUAGCCUACUAUAGUAUUGCUGGUGGUAUAUAUUUGCAUGCUUUUUACAAAAUUUUGUUUCAGUGUCAGAUAACAAAACGUUAGCAUUUGUGUAAGAAAAUAGCUUUAGCCUACAUAUUUUUAAAAGUCAUCCCUUUUAAAAGACCCUCCCUUCAAGUAGAAUCUAAAAAGUUAUUUCCCAUAUGUGCAGCUUACAUUUAAAUGUUCACUUAAACUUGACAAAUUAGACCUACAAUGCUUAUACUUCUGCUACUGGAAUUUUUGUUUACACUUUAUUUUUAAGGUUUCCUUGUUACAGAGUAAUAGUAAUAUUAAUUAACUACAUGUACUUAUUAUAUGGUUAGGGUUAGGAUUAGGGUUUGGCUUAGGGUUACUUGCAUGUAAUUAUGCAUAAUUAAUUGUACAAUAGUAAUAACAUGUAAAGUGAAAACGUAACGUAAAAUUCACAAAAGGCUUGUGGUGCAGAUAUGCUAGUCUAAUCUUUUGUAAUACUUUCAUUUCAUAACAGUGAUUUUACAGGCCCGACCAGUGUCCUCCAACAGUGACCCUUGCCCUGUUCCAGCCAGUGUUGGGUGUAACGCGUUACUAAGUAACUGUUACUGUAAUUAAAUUACUUAUCCACUGAAAAAAGUAAAGUAAGGGAUUACUGCUCAUUUUUAGGUAAUUUAAUUACAGUUACUUAUAAAGUAUAUGCGUUACAUACAGUAAAUCAUUCCAGCAGUUCUAAAAUCAAUAUCGAAUUUGAAAUCUAAAUUUACCGUCUAAAGAUAAAAUUGAAUGCAGUGUCUUUAACCCUCUGCACGCCAAUGCAUUCACUUUCAGUUUUUCCUGAUUCACAGAGAAACCUUAAAUACUCAGAUACAGAAAAGACUAAAAACAAUCGAAUCUAAAAAGGGGGCCUACUUUUAUUUGUGUACACUGACAAUAACAACAAAACAUUGUGCUUUUGCAAAAUAAACAAAACAAACCGGGGGCA